CGCGUAGGUGGUUCGAUCAGUCGGAGGUGAAAUCCCUCGGCUCAACCGAGGACCCGCGUCCGAUACUGUCGAACUUGAGUGCAGGAGAGGAGAGCGGAAUUCCCAGUGUAGCGGUGAAAUGCGUAGAUAUUGGGAGGAACACCGGUGGCGAAGGCGGCUCUCUGGACUGUUACUGACACUGAGGCGCGAAAGCUAGGGGAGCAAACGGGAUUAGAUACCCCGGUAGUCCUAGCCGUAAACGAUGGGCACUAGGUGUGGGAGGUAUCGACCCCUUCCGUGCCGCAGCUAACGCAUUAAGUGCCCCGCCUGGGGAGUACGGCCGCAAGGUUGAA
rnacentral:rRNA from 1 species